AGUGAACGCUGGCGGCGUGCUUAACACAUGCAAGUCGAACGAGAACGGAUUAUAGCUUGCUAUAAUUGUCAGCUAAGUGGCGCACGGGUGAGUAAUGUAUAGGUAAUAUGCCUCUUACUAAGGGAUAACAAAUGGAAACGUUUGCUAAUACCUUAUACUCCUUAUUAACAUAAGUUAAUAAGGGAAAGAUUUAUUGGUAAGAGAUUAGCCUGUAUUGUAUCAGUUAGUUGGUGGGGUAAUGGCUUACCAAGACUAUGACACAUAACUGGUUUGAGAGGAUGAUCAGUCACACUGGAACUGAGACACGGUCCAGACUCCUGCGGGAGGCAGCAGUGGGGAAUAUUGCACAAUGGACGAAAGUCUGAUGCAGCAACGCCGCGUGGAGGAUGACACAUUUCGGUGCGUAAACUCCUUUUAUGUGAGAAGAUAAUGACGGUAUUAUAUGAAUAAGCACCGGCUAACUCCGUGCCAGCCGCCGCCGUAA
rnacentral:rRNA from 1 species